rnacentral:rRNA from 1 species
GUCCUUUAGAAUUAAUUAUUUAAGGUCUAACCUGCCCACUGAAAAAUUUUAAAUGGCCGCAGUAAAUUGACUGUGCAAAGGUAGCAUAAUCAUUAGUUUUUUAAUUAAAAGCUUGUAUGAAUGGUUUGACGAAAUAAAAUCUGUCUCUAAAUAAUAAUAAGAAUUUAAUUUUUAAGUUAAAAAGCUUAAAUUUUAAUAAAAGACGAGAAGACCCUAUAGAUCUUUAUAUUAAAACUAAUAAUUUUAUUUAGGAUUUUUUAUUUUUAUUAUUAUUUUUAUUAUUAUAUUGGGGUAAUAGGAAGAUUUAUUAAAUUCUUUUUAAUUUAUUACAAUAAUAAUUGUUUAUUUGAUCCUUAAUUUAAGAUAAUAAGAUUAAGUUACCUUAGGGAUAACAGCGUAAUUUUUUUAGAGAGUUCUUAUCGAUAAAAAAGUUUGCGACCUCGAUGUUGGAUUAAAAAUUAUUCUAGGUGUAGAAGUUUAGAAAUUUUGGUCUGUUCGACCAUUAAAUUUUU